rnacentral:rRNA from 1 species
UACGUAGGGUGCAAGCGUUAAUCGGAAUUACUGGGCGUAAAGCGUGCGCAGGCGGUUUUGUAAGUCUGUCGUGAAAUCCCCGGGCUCAACCCUGGGAAUUGCGGAUGGAGACUGCAAGGCUAGAAUCUGGCAGAGGGGGGUAGAAUUCCACGUGUGAGCAGGUGAAAUGACGUAGAGAUGUGGAGGAACACCGAUGGCGAAG